rnacentral:rRNA from 1 species
AGCAGCCGCGGUAAUUCCAGCUCCAAUAGCGUAUAUUAAAGUUGUUGCAGUUAAAAAGCUCGUAGUUGAAUUUCGGGAUCAAUACGUCGGUCGUGCUUCGGUACGUACUGGCGUAAUUGAUUUCUCCCUUCUGACGAACCAUGAUGUCAUUAACUUGGUGUCAUGGGAAAUCAGGACUGUUACUUUGAAAAAAUUAGAGUGUUUAAAGCAGGCUCACGCUUGAAUACAUUAGCAUGGAAUAAUGAAAUAGGACGUUCGAUCCUAUUUUGUUGGUUUUUAGGAUCAACGUAAUGAUUAAUAGGGAUAGUUGGGGGCAUUAGUAUUCAAUUGUCAGAGGUGAAAUUCUUGGAUUUAUUGAAGACUAACUACUGCGAAAGCAUUUGCCAAGGAUGUUUUCAUUAAUCAAGAACGAAAGUUAGGGGAUCGAAGACGAUCAGAUACCGUCGUAGUCUUAACCAUAAACUAUGCCGACUAGGGAUCGGAUGAUGUAAUUUUUAAUGACUCAUUCGGCGCCUUAAC